AUUAUACAGCGAAACUGCGAAUGGCUCAUUAUAUAAGUUAUCGUUUAUUUGAUAGUACCUUACUACUUGGAUAACCGUGGUAAUUCUAGAGCUAAUACAUGCUAAAAAUCCCGACUUCGGAAGGGAUGUAUUUAUUAGAUUAAAAACCAAUGCCCUCUGGGCUCUUUGGUGAUUCAUGAUAACUUCUCGAAUCGCACGGCCUUGCGCCGGCGAUGGUUCAUUCAAAUUUCUUCCCUAUCAACUUUCGAUGUUUGGGUAUUGGCCAAACAUGGUUGCAACGGGUAACGGAGGGUUAGGGCUCGACCCCGGAGAAGGAGCCUGAGAAACGGCUACUACAUCCAAGGAAGGCAGCAGGCGCGCAAAUUACCCAAUCCCGACACGGGGAGGUAGUGACAAUAAAUACUGAUACAGGGCUCUUUUGGGUCUUGUAAUUGGAAUGAGUACAAUUUAAAUCCCUUAACGAGGAACAAUUGGAGGGCAAGUCUGGUGCCAGCAGCCGCGGUAAUUCCAGCUCCAAUAGCGUAUAUUAAAGUUGUUGUGGUUAAAAAGCUCGUAGUUGAACCUUGGGCCUGGCUGGCCGGUCCGCCUCACCGCGUGUACUGGUCCGGCCGGGCCUUUCCCUCUGUGGAACCUCAUGCCCUUCACUGGGUGUGACGGGGAAACAGGACUUUUACUUUGAAAAAAUUAGAGUGCUCCAGGCAGGCCUAUGCUCGAAUACAUUAGCAUGGAAUAAUGAAAUAGGACGUGUGGUUCUAUUUUGUUGGUUUCUAGGACCGCCGUAAUGAUUAAUAGGGACAGUCGGGGGCAUCAGUAUUCAAUUGUCAGAGGUGAAAUUCUUGGAUUUAUUGAAGACUAACUACUGCGAAAGCAUUUGCCAAGGAUGUUUUCAUUAAUCAGGAACGAAAGUUAGGGGAUCGAAGACGAUCAGAUACCGUCGUAGUCUUAACCAUAAACUAUGCCGACUAGGGAUCGGACGAUGUUAUUUUUUGACGCGUUCGGCACCUUACGAGAAAUCAAAGUGCUUGGGCUCCG
rnacentral:rRNA from 1 species